AUUGAACGCUGGCGGCAGGCCUAACACAUGCAAGUCGAACGGUAACAGGAAGAAGCUUGCUUCUUUGCUGACGAGUGGCGGACGGGUGAGUAAUGUCUGGGAAACUGCCUGAUGGAGGGGGAUAACUACUGGAAACGGUAGCUAGUACCGCAUAACGUCGCAAGACCAAAGAGGGGGACCUUCGGGCCUCUUGCCAUCGGAUGUGCCCAGAUGGGAUUAGCUAGUAGGUGGGGUAACGGCUCACCUAGGCGACGAUCCCUAGCUGGUCUGAGAGGAUGACCAGCCACACUGGAACUGAGACACGGUCCAGACUCCUACGGGAGGCAGCAGUGGGGAAUAUUGCACAAAGGGCGCAAGCCUGAUGCAGCCAUGCCGCGUGUAUGAAGAAGGCCUUCGGGUUGUAAAGUACUUUCAGCGGGGAGGAAGGGAGUAAAGUUAAUACCUUUGCUCAUUGACGUUACCCGCAGAAGAAGCACCGGCUAACUCCGUG
rnacentral:rRNA from 1 species